GAAGCUGUCCACAAUUAGAGGGACAGGCUCUCAGCAGCCAAGAACGCCAGGGAACGGACUGAGCAGCUCAGUUCAUGCCCAGGCUUGGUCAGAAUGAGGUGCAUCUGGCAGCGAGCAACUGAUGCCGACAACUUGUUACGCACUCUGAGACUGUUGUUGAACCUUAUCGCAACCAGCUUCACUUGGCUGUAAAUACUCAGCGUCUGGGCCGAGAGACCAACUAGCAAUUGAAUAGGACAGGACGCCUUUGUGAAGAUUCCAGAACCCAGGAGUGAGGCUGAAGCAUACCCUUGGAUCACAGAAACUAAGAAAAACUGCAUUAGAAGGAUUUUUGGCGUCUUUGUCUUUCGAAGAGGG